rnacentral:rRNA from 1 species
UGGGGAAUUUGGGCAAUGGGGGCAACCCUGAUCCAGCAAUGCCGCGUGAGUGAAGAAGGCCUUCGGGUUGUAAAGCUCUUUUGUCAGGGAAGAAACGGUGAGGGCUAAUAUCCUUUGCUAAUGACGGUACCUGGAGAAUAAGCUCCGGCUAACUCCGUGCCAGCAGCCGCGGUAAUACGGAGGGAGCUAGCGUUGUUCGGAAUUACUGGGCGUAAAGCGUACGUAGGCGGUGACUCAAGUCAGAGGUGAAAGCCUGGAGCUCAACUCCAGAACUGCCUUUGAAACUAGGUCGCUAGAAUCACGGAGAGGUGAGUGGAAUUCCGAGUGUAGAGGUGAAAUUCGUAGAUAUUCGGAAGAACACCAGUGGCGAAGGCGGCUCACUGGACGUGUAUUGACGCUGAGGUACGAAAGCGUGGGGAGCAAACAGGAUUAGAUACCCGCGUAGUCCCUGAGCGGGCUGGCAAGGCGAA